rnacentral:rRNA from 1 species
GAUGAACGCUAGCGGCAGGCCUAACACAUGCAAGUCGAGGGGGAGGUUACUUUCGGGUAACUGAGACCGGCGUACGGGUGCGUAACGCGUAUACAAUCUGCCUUUCACUGGGGGAUAGCCCGAAGAAAUUUGGAUUAAUACCCCAUAGUAUAGUAAUACGGCAUCGUGAUGCUAUUAAAGCUUAGGUGGUGAAAGAUGAGUAUGCGUUCUAUUAGCUAGUUGGAGAGGUAACGGCUCCCCAAGGCGAUGAUAGAUAGGGGUUCUGAGAGGGAUGUCCCCCAGACUGGUACUGAGAUACGGACCAGACUCCUACGGGAGGCAGCAGUGAGGAAUAUUGGACAAUGGUCGGAAGACUGAUCCAGCCAUGCCGCGUGCAGGAUGAAGGUCUUAUGGAUUGUAAACUGCUUUUGUAAGGGAAGAAUAAGGGCUACGCGUAGUUUGAUGACGGUACCUUACGAAUAAGCAUCGGCUAACUACGUG